rnacentral:sRNA from 1 species
AAAGAAAAAGAGAAAAAUACAAAAACCUUAGGGCCGGCAUGGUGGCUUACGCCUGUAAUCCCAGCACUCUGGGAGCCCAAGGCAGGCAGAUCACUUGAGGUCAGGAGUUCGAGACCAGCCUGGCCAACAUGGCAAAACCUCAUCUCCAUUAAAAAUACAAAAAAGUUAGCCAGGCGCGGUGGUGUGGGCCUGCAGUCCCAGCUACUUGGGAGGCUGAGGCAGGAGAAUCACUUGAAUCCAGGAGGUGGAGGUUGCAGUGAGCCGAGAUUCCACCACCGCACUCCAGCCUGGGCGAUGGAGCAAGACUCCAUCUCAAAAAAAGAGAAAAUUCUACACAUACAUACUUAACACAAACUUUGUUUCAUGUGCAAAAUUAUUUAAAAUGUUAUGUAAAAUUACCUUCAGGCUGUGUGCGUAAGGUAUAUAUGAAAUAUAAAUGAAUUUUUCCAGGCAUGAUGGCUCACACCUGUAAUCUCGAUACUUUGGGAGGCUGAUACAGGAGGAUGGCUUGAGGCCAGGAGUUUGAGACCAGCCUGGGCAACAUAGUGACACCCUAUCUCUACAAAAAAUUUAAAAAUUAGCUGGGCAUAAUGGUGCACACCUGUAGUCCCAGCUACUCUGGGGGCUGAGGUGGGAGGAUCUCUUGAGCCACUAUACUCCAGCCUGAGUGACAGAGUGAGACCCUGUCUCAAAGAAAAAUGAAACAAAUGAAUUUCAUGUUUAGGCUUGCAUAUGCAUUCCCAAGAUAUCUCAUUGUGUAUAUGCAAAUAUUCCAAAAUCUGAAAUCUGAAACAUUUCAGAUAAGGGAUGCUCAGCCUGUAUCACCACUUACUAUCACCAUCAUUUUGUAUUGAAGAAAGAUAUUUCAAAUCUCCAGAAGUAGGAGGAGUAUCAUCUCAGAACUCCGGUGUGUUUUCAGUUUAACAGUGGUAUUUCAGAAGCACCUGCCCCCAUCCCUGACAUUUUCUUCAUGUUUGCUGGGACCACUCAGAAAUCAGAAGGUGCCUUCAGCAGGCUGGGCCAGCCACCUGGGGACACAGCCAGGAACAGUGGGAGGGCUGGGCCUGAGCCUGGACUCCUGCACUGAAGGCUGGGCUGUCCCCUCCAGCAUACAGCUCAUGUGUGACUUUGGGAAAGGAGUUGGGCCCUCUGGUCUUUUUGCUCCCUGGGUAAAGUCAGUGGGGGGUGCUGCUCUGCAGUCCUUCCUGGGUUCAUAGGGGUCAUGGGAGGAUCUGGAGGCUGGGCUGGCCUGCUAAAGGGACCAGCCACUUUUUGGAGUGACAUUCCAGCUGGAAGCGUCCAUCCCACCCCAGGUGUGAGGGGGGAAGCAGAGGGUGUCACAUACUGUGACAGAGGUGGGGUCAUGCUGCCAACCCCACUCUGAACCCCAGCUCAUCGAGCGGUCCCCCCGCACCCUGCCACGCUCCAUCACCUACGUGAGCAUCAUCAUCUUCAUCAUGGGUGCCAGCAUCCACCUGGUGGGUGACUCUGUCAACCACCGCCUGCUCUUCAGUGGCUACCAGCACCACCUGUCUGUCCGUGAGAACCCCAUCAUCAAGAAUCUCAAGCCGGAGACGCUGGUGAGGCCACCUCCUGCUCCCUGCCUGUAAGCCCUAGAAGCACAGUCUGUCCUGGGAGGCUGAAGAAAUGGCCCCCACCCCUCGCCGCACCUGUCCUUCCACCAAAGGCAUUCUGUUAGGUGAGGGCACCGUCGCCUGCGCCAAGCUAGGAUGCUCAAGUGUUCUUAGGAAGUGGUGCACAGACUGCCUCCCACCUGGGUCCCUGUAACAGAGGGCAAGGCCCUGGGUAGGGAAUAAGGCAGUGGGGGAGGCCUGGGACUGGGAGAAAGGUGGUCAGAGGGGAUGCUUGGGGCCCCAGCACCUCCCUGGACUGACAUCGACAUCCCCCCUGACUCUGCCCUGCCCGUGCCUCCCUCAGAUCGACUCCUUUGAGCUGCUCUACUAUUAUGAUGAGUACCUGGGUCACUGCAUGUGGUACAUCCCCUUCUUCCUCAUCCUCUUCAUGUACUUCAGCGGCUGCUUUACUGCCUCUAAAGCUGAGAGCUUGAUGCCAGGGCCUGCCCUGCUCCUGGUGGCGCCCAGUGGCCUGUACUACUGGUACCUGGUCACCGAGGGCCAGAUCUUCAUCCUCUUCAUCUUCACCUUCUUCGCUAUGCUGGCCCUCGUCCUGCACCAGAAGCGCAAGCGCCUCUUCCUGGACAGCAACGGCCUCUUCCUCUUCUCCUCCUUCUCACUGACCCUCUUACUUGUGGCGCUCUGGGUCGCCUGGCUGUGGAAUGACCCUGUUCUCAGGAAGAAGUACCCAGGUGUCAUCUACGUCCCUGAGCCCUGGGCUUUCUACACCCUUCACGUCAGCAGUCGGCACUGAGUCCCUGGCACCAGGCUCUGGUGCGCUGCCGCGUGGGAGGUGGGCCAUAGAGGGCAUCUGAAUACAGGAGUAGGGGAGGUGCGGGUGUGUAACCAGAGACCGAGAGCAUGAGUGGGGUGUGCCUCGUGUGCGUGGAUUCGUGUGUGUGCGUAGAUUCGUGUGUGUAUGUGUCUUUGUGUGUGUGUGUCGUGUGUGUGUGUCUUGUAUAUGUGUGCGCAGAGUGCAUCAUUUUCAGACUCUACUAUUUCCGUCAAGUUUCUGUUUGAUUUGGAUCAUCUCAGGAUCGGAUUCUGUUUUAGAGAGUUUCUGGGCCAGGAUCCGGGCCCCUGCCCCUCCUCUGCACCUGACCACACUCCCUACUCAGGGCUGGUCUGUUCUUCUCGAACAUCUUCUGGUAGCCGUGCAGGAGAGGGUUGGGUGGGGCAGAGGCCAGGAGGGGACCUGGUGUGUCGCCUGCCCACCAGCUGGCUCAUCCCUCAGGCCCACCCUGACCGUACAUUACAUAGGUUACGUCAGCCUCCUGUGGCUGUUGAGCAAAGCAUUUCUCCUUUCUGGGCCUCAUUUGCACUAGAUGGGCCUGUGGUCCCAAAGUAGGUCAGUAGGUUGGGGUUGCUGACACCCCUUGGGGGCAGCUUUGGGACAGAUGAGUGGCUCUGUCCUGUCACUGCCCUCUCCCUGCCUGGGGGCUAUGUGCACUCCAGACCCUGCCCAGGCUCAGGCCCAUGAGGUGUGGAGCCAGCCUCGCCCCCAGGAGCUGGAGGCACUGCCCACUCCCCUGGCAUUCCAGCUCUCCAGGCGACCCUCCUCCACCCAAAGCUCUGUCCCCCUGCUCCCACUCCAGAAGAACUGUGGCACGCGCUUCAGGCAGCCUAGCCACAGGCUUUGAGCGCCUGCAUUCCUGGGGGCUGGGG